CAAGCUUGUAAAACUGAGAAACAGUCAUCCACUAAGAACAAUUAUGUUAUGGUAGAAUUUAUGCUAUGUCUUAGAUAGCAGUAGCAUCUAAUUGUGCAAAUAUCGUAGCAGGAGUAGGGUCGGUCAAAUCGUCUGUGGUUACAUAAACUGCUUGAAUAGAGGAGAUCAUCCCAUGAAUUCUUCAGUUUAUGCAGAUACUUUCUUGUCAUUUUCAGUCUCAACUAAGGUUGAAAGAACUGGUAAAUUGUGUGCUUGACAGAAGUGAGCUCCUUAAUUGGGAUAAAUACUUACAAACUAGACUGAACUACUGAAAAUUCAGCCUGAAGUUGAUGUCUCAUUCUAAAACUUUCCUUUUUAUUAUUUACUGUGUUUGUGUACUUCAAGAAAGAUGGUGCAGCCUUGUCUGGACACCAAGUGGAGUCUGUCAUAUUUCCAGUGUUCAAUUCUUGUUAUGUCCCUGGCAAUCUCAGGGUCCAAAUUUAUCGAAAAUGAAGCUGAUAAGCUGGCUUUCCUAGACUUCAAAAGUAAAAUCAGUGAGGAUCCAUUUCAAGCUUAUAGCUUCUUGAAACAAUUCUCUUCAUUACUGCAACUGGACAGGUAUAACAUGCAGUGCCUCCAAUGAAAGAGUCAUGAUUCUUGACUUGAGGUCAAAAAAUCUCGUUGGCCCAAUACCGCUUUUCAAUAGGAACCUUAAGUUCCUCACGGGCAUUAAUCUUCGAAACGAUAGCUUCCAUGGUCAAAUUCUACAAAAAAAUUGGGAACUUGUUGCACCUGCAACAUCUCAAUCCCACUUGGAAUUCUUUCACCGGGAAAUUCCUACUAAUCUGACUUCCUGUACAGAACUUAUAGUACUUUCUCUAGAAUCCAAUGGUCUUGUUGGGACAACACAUGAUCACCUCAGUUCAUUAUCAAAGCUGAUUUACUUGGGGCUUGGAAUAAACAAUCUCACAGGAGGAUUUCCACCUUGGAUAGGAAAUUUAUAGUCUCUUUAGGGUCUUUCGAGUUUCACUUACAAGAAACAAUAUUCAAGGACCAAUACCUUUGGAUCUUGGCCUAUUGCAAAACUUGGAUUUUCCAAAUUUCUUCAAAUCAAUUGACUGGUAAAAUUCCUCAAUCUAUCUACAAUAUCUCCUCCAUUAGCUUUUUCUCUAUUGCUGAGAACAUGCUUUAUGGAGAACUUCCACCAGAUAUAGGCCAAACUUCCAGAGCUUGAGGUAUUUGCUGGUGGUCUGAACAAGUUCACAGGACCAAUUUCUGUUUCAUUAUCAAUUGCUUCCAGGCUUACUCUUCUUGAUUUUUCUGGAAAUGGACUCACUGGAACUAUUCCAACAGGUCUAGGAAAAUUGCAACAUUUGUAUAGCUCAACUUAGAGUUCACUACACUUGGAGAAAAUGGAAAUAUGGAUCCGAGGUUUCUUGAUAGGAGGAUUUCCACAGUUACAAGGGUAUCAAAUUGCUAAGCCACACUAUGAAAGUUUGGGAGAGAGUGGUGGAGAUGAGGGUGAGGGGAGGAGUGUCUAUUUCCGAGAAUCAAUUUGGAUUCAUGCAGGGGAGAUCGAAUACUGAAGCAAUCCACCUUAUGCGGAGACUGGUGGAGAAAUAUAGAGAAAAGAAGAGGGACCUGCAUAUGGUGUUCAUUGAUCUGGAGAAGGCUUAUGACAAAGUUCGGAGAGAGGUCCUUUGGAGGUGUUUGGAGGCCAAAGGUGUCCCCAAUGGUGUAUAUUAGGGCGAUAAGGGACAUAUAUGAUGGAGCCAAGACCCGGGUUAAAACGGUUUGGGGGGGCGGGAAUCGGAUCCCUUCCCAGUAGAGAUGGGUAUACAUCAAGGAUCGGUGCUAAGCCCGUUCUUAUUUGCCAUGGUGAUGGAUGAGCUGACGCGGCAUAUUCAGGAUGAGGUUCCAUGGUGUAUACUAUUUGCGGAUGAUAUAGUACUGAUUGAUGAGACUCGAGACAGAGUUAAUGAUAGGUUGGAGGUGUGGAGACAAACUCUGGAGUCCAAAGGUUUUAGAUUGAGCAGGACCAAAACGGAGUAUUUGGAGUGCAAAUUCAGUGUGGCGUUGGCUGAUCCGGCUGUAGAAGUUAGGCUUGCCUCAUAGACUAUUCCCAAGAGCAAAAAUUUUAAAUAUCUUGGGUCCGUCAUCCAGAGUAGUGGGGACAUCGACGAUGAUAUCACACAUCGCAUUGGGGCUGCUUGGAUGAAAUGGAGUCUUGCCUCUGGAGUCUUGUGUGACAAGAAGGUACCACCUAAACUUAGAGAUAAGUUCUACAGAAUGAUGAAUAGACUGUCUUUGUUGUAUGGGGUGGAGUGUUGGCCAGUCAAGAACUCUCAUAUUCAGAAGAUGCAUGUCGCAGAAAUGAGGAUAUUGAGAUGGAUUGUGGGCAUAAUAAGAGUGAAAAGAUUAGGAAUGAAGUUAUUCGAGAGAAGGUGGGAACGACUUCAGUGGCGGACAAGAUGAGAAAAGCAAAACUAAGAUGGUUUGGACAUGUGCAUAGGAGGUACGCCGACGCACCAGUGUAGAGGUGUGAGGAGUUGGAUGUAGGGGGUACGCGGCGGGGUAGGGGUAGGCCGAAAAAGUAUUGGGGCGAGGUGAUUCGUUAUGACAUGACGCGACUUCAUAUUACCGAUGACAUGAUUCUAGAUAGGAAGAAGUGGAGGUCGCUUAUUAGGAUAGAAGGCUAGUAGAGGUAGAGCGUUGUCUUGCCUUGUAGAGGUAUAGUGCAGGUCAUAGGUCGUGCCCUUAUAGAUAUUGCCAUAUGUUGUUUAUUGCAUUUUGUUUAUCAUUUUAUUUGUUGUUGUUGUUCUUCUCUCUCUUAUGCUUUCUUCAUUGUUUUCUUCCUUUUUCCUGGGUUUGAUUCACUUGAGCCGUGGGUCUUUUGGAAACAGCCUCUCUACCUCUACGAGGUAGUGGUAAGGUUUGCGUACACUCUACCCUCCCCAGACCCCACUUUGUAGGAUUCCACUGGGUAUGUUGUUGUUGUCAGGUUUCUUGAUUUCCUAAUUAAACUUUCGAGAUUGGAGGUUUUGAGCUUUCUAGACAAUUCUUUUGAAGGAGAACUUCCGAUUUCAAUUGCAAACUUUUCAGAGAAGCUUAAUGUACUUGAUCUAGGUUUUAAUAUGAGGCAUGGCACUGUUCCUGCUGGACUGGGGAACCUUGUGAAUUUGAUCAGAUCAUCACUUGUUAAUAACAACUUCAGGGGCAGUCGAGUCUCUAUGCAAGCUUCAACGCCUUCAAGGACUGGAGUUGGAUGGAAAUAAGUUUUCAGGGAGGCUGACAACUUUAUACAUGGAGAACAAUAGACUAGAAGGUAACAUACCUGCAGUUCUUGGAAAGUGUACCAGUAGUGCUAAACCUUACUGGAAACAAUCUUGUUGGCUACAUACCAAAAGAGGUUGCAGGUAUAUCUUCUCUUUCAAUUUCUUUACAAUUGGGACCUAACUUGUUGAGUGCUUCUUUCCCAUUAGAAGUGGGAGGUUGACAAAUCUCAAGGAAUUGGAUUUGUCACAUUAACAAACUAUCAGGUGAAGUUUCAAGCAACCUCCACACUUGUGUCAGAUUAGAGAACUUGGGUAUCAGCAAUAACUAGUUUGGUGGAAAAUUCCACAAUUCUUUUCAAAUGCAGGUGCAGUUUCAGCUUCUGUUUCAAGGAGUCGUAAACUAUGUGGAGGUCAGCCCAUCUUUGAUUUACCUGCAUGUAGUAAACAUAGAAAUCACUCAUCAACCAAAAAGAUUGGUUCAGGAGCAAUAGUAGCAAGAACAGUUUCCCUUCUAGUUUUGCUAUUAUGUUCAUUUGCUGCUUAUUGCAUAAUUAGGAACCCAAGAAAAGAGAUAUCUUGGUUCAACCUCUUCAACAGGUCAGCAAUUCGGACAUUCAUAUGAUAAUGAUCUAGCUAUGGCAGGGAGAGUCACUUAUGAGGAUAUUUUAAAAUCAACCAAGGGGUUCAAUGAGGAUAACCUGGUUGGUAGAGGAACUUUGGUUCGGUAUACCAAGGGCACUUCAGGGAUAAGAAUAUCACUAUAGCGGUCAAAGUACUAAGCCUACAACAGAGAGGGGCUUUACGGAGCUUCUUGGAUGAAUACAGAGCUUUGAAAAAUAUUAGACAUCGCAAUCUUCUAAAGAUAAUAAAUGUCUGUUCAAGGGUUGAUUGCCAAGGCAAUGACUUCAAAUGUCUAGUUUUGGAGAUCGCGGCCUAGCUGAUUGGCUGCAUUCAAAGAGUGAAUGCUGCCACAAAAUGAGUCUAAGCAUUAUCCAGAGGUCGAACAUAGCAGUAGAUGUUGCUUUGUGGCUUUGAAUUGGCAAAGAUUCUCACUAAAUCAUCAAAUACUUCAUGGAGUAAUCAAAGUUUUGACGCGCUAAAAGAGUACGGAUCGGGAGGUUGGAAAAUCUUGGAGAUGUUUAUAGCUAUGGUAUCAUGUUGCUUGAAAUGUUGAAAGACACAAGACCAAAUGAUGUGAUCUUCAAAGAUGGUCCAACUAUUCACAGAUAUAGUGCAAUGGCCUUUGACUAAACAUGUCAUGGAGAUUGCAGAACCUUCAUUGUUUAUGGCACAUGAAUUACAUAAGGAAAAAGAACCAGAAGAAAAGGAAAUACUACCAAAUAAGGAUAAUAUAUCCCAUCUAAAUGAAAGCAAUACAAUAGAAGAAUGCCUACUCUCAAUGUUGAAAGUUCGUCUUUUAUGUUCUACCUCACCACCAAAGGAUCGGAUGCCCAUAAGUGUAGUAGCUUUAAACAAAGUUCAUGACAUGGAGGUCUUUUGGCAAUAAAAGGCAUAUUACUAAUUGAUUCUUUGGCCCCCUCCAGACAAAGCAUGGGAUAGUCUGAUCAAGGAGAGGAUUUCCCAUCGAUUGUGAAAGACAAAGUGACUCACCAUCCAUUUGCAACCCCUUUAGAAAUCUUACCUGAAUGAUAUUUCUUUCCUGUAUUUCAAAUAUUUCGUACAGUGCCCAAUAAAUUGAUAGGCUAGUAACAAAUAUUGUCCUCAGCCUUUCUUUUUUUUUUCCCAGUCGUCCUUGAUCGCUAGAUAAGCUGAUCACAGUUUUGGAUUCGUGUACCAAGAACCAGCAUAUCAUA